GACAGAGGGUGCAAACGUUGUUCGGAUUUACUGGGCGUAAAGCGUGUGUAGGCGGCUUUGUAUGUCGGAUGUGAAAGCCCACGGCUCAACCGUGGAAGUGCAUCCGAAACUGCAUAGCUUGAGUCCCGGAGAGGAAGGUGGAAUGCUUGGUGUAGAGGUGAAAUGCGCAGAUAUCGGGAAGAACACCCGUGGCGAAGGCGGCUCUCUGGAACGCAACUGACGCUGAGACGCGAAAGCGUGGGGAGCAAACAGG
rnacentral:rRNA from 1 species